rnacentral:tRNA from 1 species
UAGCUCAGCUAGGUUAGAGCGCACGGUUCGGGACCGUGAGGUCGGCAGUUCGAAUCUGCC